UUAUUGAAACGGUUCCUCAGGCUACUAUGCCUGGUGCUCCCCAUGCUGCUGGUCUCCUUGGACACGAAGGCAUCAGGGUGACAGAGGCUUGCCCUGAGGCAGCACAGUUCACACAGCACAGUUCUUCACAGUUCACACAAGCCCCUGGUAACAUGUCUCCACCCUGAGGUAGAUGGUGGUAAUUGCUUAUGGGAGUGAAGUGUUCAUUUAAUUUGACCAUGUAGUAAUGCAGUACAACAACAAGACAGAUAUGAUAUGAUUUAAAAACAUUUAUUUAUACAUAAAAUGUACUGUGGCCAUCAAAAAAAUGAAUAAAACUCUACAGUUUUGUACAAUACAUACACUAUAUAUACAAAAGUAUGUGGACACGACUUCAAAUUAGUGGAUUUGGCUAUUUCAGCCACACCCGUUACUGACAGGUGUAUAAAAUCAAGCACACAGCCAUGCAAUCUCCCUAGACAAACAUUGACAGUAGCAUGGCCUUACUGAAGAGCUCAGUGACUUUCAACGUGGCACCGUCAUAGGAUGCCACCUUUCCAACAAGUCAGUUCACCAAAUUUUUACCCUGCUAGAGCUGCCCCGGUCAACUAUAAGUGCUGUUAUUGUGAAGUGGAAAUAUCUAAGAGCAACAACGGCUCAGCAGCUAAGUGGUAGGCCACACAAGCCACUACAGAAUAGGACCGCCGAGUGUUGAAGUGCGUAGCUUUUAAAAAUCGUCUGUCCUUGGUUGCAAUACCUCACUACGAGUUCCAAACUGCCUCUGAAAGCAAUGUCAGCACAAUAACUGUUUAUCGGGAGCUUCAUGAAAUGGAUUUCCAUGGCCGAGCAGCUGCACAAAAGCCUAAGAUCACCACGCGCAAUGCCAAGCGUCGGCAUUGCUAGUAGGUGUCCACAUACUUUUGGUCAUGUAGUGUAUGUCUUUGUAUAUAUGUAUAAAUCUUAUUGUAUUCUCAAGAAUAUCUAAAAACAAAAAUAGAUUUUUAAAUCUCAGUUCUAGUAAAGCACUGAAAAAGUGCACACAGCAUAUAGACCUCAAUGACAGAAACAAGUCAUCUGUUUUGAGGCUCAAACAGUGAAACAAAAUAAAGCUUCUAUAAUGCUUCUUUUAUAAGAAAUCUUGAACAACUCUUUAAAGUUUUUUUUGUAAUGCAUAACAUAAAAUGAACUUUAGCAGUAUGUGCCAGGUCCUGAUCUGAUGACAAGACAAAAAAAAUGAACAAAACUAAUAACAGAGAAAACCGUUAGCCUGUAUCAAAGCUGUAUCAUGGUUGUAUUAUGGCUGUAUCAAGGCUGUAUCUUCAUAGUUGUAUCAAGACUGUAUCUAGGCUGUAUCAAGGCUGUAUCAUGGUUGUAUCAAGGCUGUAUCUUCAUAGUUGUAUCAUGGUGGUAUCAAGGCUGUAUCUUCAUAGUUGUAUCAUGGUGGUAUCAAGGCUGCAUCAAGGCUGUAUCUUCAUAGUUGUAUCAUGGUGGUAUCAAGGCUGCAUCAAGGCUGUAUCUUCAUAGUUGUAUCAAGGCUGUUUCUUCAUAGUUUCUUCAUGGCUGUAUCAUGCUUGUAUCUAGGCUGUAACAAGGCUGUAUCUUCAUAGUUGUAUCAUGGUUGUGCCAAUGAGAUAUAUUUUCUACUACCCUGUUUU